rnacentral:pre_miRNA from 1 species
AAUGUUUGACGCCAUUGACUUUUUUAAACAUGUUUGACCGUUCGUCUUAUUCAAAAAAUUUAAGUAAUUAUUAAUUAUUUUCCUAUCAUUUGAUUCAUUGUUAAAUAUAUUUCUAUGUAGGCAUAUAAUUUUAUAUAUUUCACAAAAGUUUUUAAAUAAGACGAACGGUCAAACAUGUGCUUAAAAAGUCAACGGUG